rnacentral:misc_RNA from 1 species
GUAGGUGAACCUGCGGAGGGAUCAUUACCGAGCGAGGGCCUUCGGGCCCGACCUCCCCACCCCUUGCUGUCCUCACACCCGUGUAUACUUUGCCUCGGGGGCCGGGCUCCUCGAGCCCGCCCCCGGUGGCCCCCCGAACGAAUAACAUGCGUCCCGUCGUCUGAGUCCUUCUAAGAAUGAAGUAAAACUUUCAACAACGGAUCUCUUGGUUCUG